AGUAAUGUAUGGGGAGCUGCCUGAUGGCGGGGGAUAACUACUGGAAACGGUAGCUAUACCGCAUAAUGUCUGCGGACCAAAGCGGGGGACCGUUCGGGCCUCUUGCCAUCGGAUGUGCCCAGAUGGGAUUAGCUAGUAGGUGGGGUAGCGGCUCACCUAGGCGACGAUCCCUAGCUGGUCUGAGAGGAUGACCAGCCACACUGGAACUGAGACACGGUCCAG
rnacentral:rRNA from 1 species